rnacentral:lncRNA from 1 species
CUCUUUCAGAAUCAGAUACCCAGACUGUGUGAGCCUGAUUGUUCUGGAAGGUUCUGGAAGGUCAGGGAUAUGUGGUAGCAUUGGAUGGCCCUGGUUCAAAUACCUCUCUAACCAGACUUCUUUUGAAGAUGCCAGCCUGCCUCAGCAGUACUAGGGGUGCCUGAGCUUCUUUCCAAGCCGCGGCCGAGGAGAAGGGACGGGGAGAAGGAAGAGAAACCCCUUUGUGGAAGCCGCCUCUGCCGACCCGGGGCUUAUGCACCGAUUACACGGGAACCCCCAACAGCCUUCUCUUCCUUACUUUGCGGAGGAGGUUGUGGAGGACCAGAAUCUUCAGAGACUUGCCCAAGGGCACACAGCAUGGAAGUGCUGGAGCUGAGAUUCUGAUGUGGAAAGCAGGCCCUCUCCAGGAGUGGAGGCUGUCCAGCCCGGAGAGCUUCCCAGGCUAUGGGUGUGUGUGUGUGUGUCUGUGUGUGUGUGUAUGAAACAAGCUUACUACUCCCUUUAGGUCCUCUUCAAGUUGUUUCAAUAGAAAUAUCUCAAGGGCCUAGUGUGGGCCAGACGGAGAAAGAGGUGAGCUCCUUGACUUGCCACGGUCAUUCACUCACAGUGAUCUCAGAGCCAAGUGAAGGACGGAUCUGAGUGCCCUGUCAGUGCUAAAGGAGGACAGGGGACACUCUGAGGGUCCAGAGGGGAGUGGAAGGCCUGAGAGUCCCUGGGGACCUGACUCCCCCCACCCCUAUCCGGAGUGCCCUCAGGGAGGGCUCCUCUCUUCUGUGGCCUCCAUUCUCCCAGACUGGCCCCCCGCCCCCACCCCAGUGCACACUCACACACACUCACCACCCCACUUGCUCUCUAAUUGCCAGGAAUGCCCUCAGCCCUUCCUCCCCUGCAUUCCUCAGCAGCAACUCCCACCUGGCAGGGCAAAUUAUACCCUGGCCUGGCAAUAAAAGCCACUUUCCAAAAAAAGAAGCUUUAGGGCCCUGAGAGACGCAGCUAACUCUCUCACCCAGCCUGUGCCUGACUCAGGAGGGGGUGUCUGGGCCAGAGGCGACAGGGCCCCAUGUCCCUUUAAGCAGGGAGUACAAAUUCCCAUCCCAGUCCCUCCCUCCUGCUCUUCCUGACGUCAGGAGGAAGGCGUGUGUGAGUGAGUGAGGGGCCUGAGGUGCCGCAUGCUCACACACACACACACACACAGAGUCAUACACACAGCACGUCUCCCAGACCCGUCCCCUGCUCGCCAGCUCCCAGCUCCAGAGAGAGGCGGGGUGCUGAAGCCGGCUGCAGGAGGCAGUGCCCGACCGCCGCUGCCAGGGAGAGGUGAUGGGAUAAUUGUGUUAAUUGGCUUGAAGAGGUGGCUCCAUGUUAUUAUUUUCACCGCAGAGUCACCCCCACCCAGAGCUCUUGCCUCUCCCGAGGCCACCCCUCUCCCCUGCCGGGCUCUCUCUGACCUCCACCCUUGCAGGGCACAGCCUGGAGAGAGGGGUGAUAAGCGAGAGCUGCUGGCCCCCCGUGCUGUGGGGUGCCUUGGGACUCUGGCAGGCAGCCUUGGCCAGCGCCAAGUCCCUGAGUGGCCUGACCCCGGCACAAGGAGUCCAGGCGGAGAUAGGGGGCGAUGCUGG